AUGGCCUGGGCCCCUCUGCUCCUCACGCUGCUCACUUACUGCUCAGGAUCCUUGGCCCAGUUUGUGCUGACUCAGCCGCCCUCAGCAUCCGCGUCUCCUGGGCAAACGGUUACGAUCUCCUGUGCCAGGAGCAGCGGCAGCAUCGGUAGCUACUAUGUAUCCUGGUACCAACAGAAGCCUGGCAGUGCCCCAAAGCUUAUUAUAUACGAGUGGAACAAGAGACCCUCUGGAAUCUCCGACCGAUUCUCCGGCUCUACAGACACCUCCGCCAAUGCUGCCUCCUUAACCAUCUCUGGGGUCCAAUCCGACGAUGAGGCUGAUUAUUACUGUCAUUCAUAUGACAGCAACAGCAAUCCCACAGUGCUACAGGCCCAUGGGGAACUGAGACCAAAACCUGCCACAGCAGCUCACGUUCCAUUGCUCUGGUCUCACUGCGUCUUCCCCCUGCCUGAGGCCCUGCAGCGAAAUGAACUGUCUCUCCCCCCUCACGGGUGGUACAAUCCCAAAUAA